AACCAUAGAAACCUGCGGAGUACCUGCGGAGGGAUCAUUAUGAAUUUGGUGGGAGGGAAGAGGGAGUGGCUCUCUUGAGAGUUGUCUCUCUUCCUCCUUCAUUUUCUGUGAACUGGUUUCUUUGGCCCUUUUGUGGGGGCCAUUGAAGCGAUUUGUUUGAUGUCUUUUUUAUAUUUUCUUGUUGUUUUUUCGAUUGGCGCAAGCUGAUUGAGAAAAAAACUAAAAAAAAACCAAGACAAC
rnacentral:misc_RNA from 1 species